UAGGCAGAUGCUCGUUGGUUUGAGUCUUUAACUGUUAAUUAAAAGUUUGUAGGAUCGAAGCCUUCCUGUCUAG
rnacentral:tRNA from 1 species